GCCCGGGCCUGGGCGGGGGUGAUGCCGUACGGCUCCAGCCGCUGCAUGGUCCGUCGGCGGAUCCGCUUCAUCGCCCGGGUG
rnacentral:tRNA from 1 species